GUUUAUAUAAUUUAAUUAAAAAUAUUACAUUUUCAUUGUAAAAAUAAUCGUGAGAUUUAUAAAUG
rnacentral:tRNA from 1 species